AUUGAACGCUGGCGGCAGGCUUAACACAUGCAAGUCGAGCGGAGAGAGGUAGCUUGCUACUGAUCUUAGCGGCGGACGGGUGAGUAAUGCUUAGGAAUCUGCCUAUUAGUGGGGGACAACAUCUCGAAAGGGAUGCUAAUACCGCAUACGUCCUACGGGAGAAAGCAGGGGAUCUUCGGACCUUGCGCUAAUAGAUGAGCCUAAGUCGGAUUAGCUAGUUGGUGGGGUAAAGGCCUACCAAGGCGACGAUCUGUAGCGGGUCUGAGAGGAUGAUCCGCCACACUGGGACUGAGACACGGCCCAGACUCCUACGGGAGGCAGCAGUGGGGAAUAUUGGACAAUGGGGGGAACCCUGAUCCAGCCAUGCCGCGUGUGUGAAGAAGGCCUUAUGGUUGUAAAGCACUUUAAGCGAGGAGGAGGCUACUCUAGUUAAUACCUAGGGAUAGUGGACGUUACUCGCAGAAUAAGCACCGGCUAACUCUGUGCCAGCCGCCGCGGUAA
rnacentral:rRNA from 1 species